GACGAACGCUGGCGGCAUGCCUAACACAUGCAAGUCGAGCGAGCAGAUCCCUUCGGGGUGAAGCUAGCGGCGGACGGGUGAGUAACACGUGGGCAACCUGCCUCAUAGAGGGGAGUAGCCUUCCGAAAGGAAGAUUAAUACCGCAUAAGAUUGUGGCUUCGCAUGAAGCAGCAAUUAAAGGAGCAAUCCGCUAUGAGAUGGGCCCGCGGCGCAUUAGCUAGUUGGUGAGGUAACGGCUCACCAAGGCGACGAUGCGUAGCCGACCUGAGAGGGUGAUCGGCCACAUUGGGACUGAGGCACGGCCCAGACUCCUACGGGAGGCAGCAGUGGGGAAUAUUGCACAAUGGGGGGAACCCUGAUGCAGCAAUGCCGCGUGAGUGAUGACGGCCUUCGGGUUGUAAAGCUCUGUCUUCGGGGACGAUAAUGACGGUACCCGAGGAGGAAGCCACGGCUAACUACGUGCCAGCCGCCGCAGUAA
rnacentral:rRNA from 1 species